rnacentral:lncRNA from 1 species
UGUGUUUGCUUACGUUAUAGCCCGACAGAUUUCAUCCUGGGUCAAUAUCAUGCUCGCCUCACAGUGAGCUCGCUCGUGAAAGUCGGAGGACGUGAGGAUGGAGGAAUUGAUCAUUUUCCAAGCAUCAAUCACGGUGUCCAUUUGUCAGGCGACUUGUUCCAGUUACCUAACCUUGUUUUGGUCGCCGCUGCGGGCCAACGAACUUCACCCAUCCCGGGUCUCGAAUCGGACAGGUUUUAUGUUAAUCACGUCUUUCGCUCGUUGGCGACGCGACGACACGGCGUGUCGCAUCUGCUGCAGCGUCUUAAGCCACGGCUCCACAAGCACCAAGCGACGCCAAGUCAGCCGCGCGUUAUUUGGGUGCCAAUAGAGUCCCUUUAUACUGAGAGUCAAGACUAUGUGAAUCCAUUUCUGAUUGGUUCCCGUAUUUUAGGCCUCCACGGUGUCACAAACGGGAAUAAAGAUUACGUUUCCACCGAUUGCAAAGAUUAUGAUCUGGAAUGGACCAGGGAAGUGCGGGUUCGGCAAGGAACACCCGGAAUGAGAGAAGGAACGGAGAAAGGCAUUUGAGAAUGGGCCGAUCAAAGAUUACAAAGAACGUUCAAUUUCUGUAAUCUUUAUUCCCGUUUGUGACUCCAUGAGGGGGUGGUCGGGGUGGUGUCUUGACUCUCAGUAUAAAGGGACUCUAAGUGCCACGCUGCCGUGCUAACGAAAAACGUGAGAGCAUUCGAGAGUUGCCAAUUUUCUCGGAUAAAACAAGUAUUUUUGAGGUAAUUAAUGCAUGUUGUUCGUUGUUCCUCAAAAUUGUCAGAUGCUUCAGAUUUAAUUUUGUAAAAAAUCGUCGAAAUUUUUGAAGAAAAAUAUCCAACAGAUUCCUUCACGCGAAGAAUCGAUUAUUACGGUAUUUCCCAAUAAUCGAUCCAACUCCAUAGGUUUGAAUGGCCGAUCAAUCGAUUCAUCGCCAACCACGACACGCUUUGAAACCGCGCGAUUGACUUCGCGUCGUCGCCGGCGCCUUGUUGGACCGUGGCCUCCCGGCUCCUCCAUCGAGGAGGCUCCACUUUUCGAGUUCUGCUCCGCUUGAGGCUUGACCUACAGUUGCUACUUCGACGGCAUUUUCGACCUAAUGCCCAAAACUGGAAAUCAGUAUUCGCACCCAGAGGCGCCUCGUGCAUGUUGGCAGCACUGUUUUCCUUCAUUUAAAGCCUUUGAAAAUAUCGAUUGUAGGUGAGGCAAGCUGCCUCACCAAGAACCGAUUGUUUUACAUACAUUUAAAUGAAGAAAACGUUGCGGUGUUGCCAAAUUUCAGGAAUCGCCACUGUUCGUACCUCACCGAGCACCAUUCGUCAGAGGCGCAAAAUUGGACAGCCCCUUUACUUUAAUAGAAGCGAUUGUUGUAAAGUAGUUUUCAAAAGAUCGCAUAACUGUUAAAUCUACGUAAAAUGAUAUCUUCUCUCCGUGUUCAAAUGAAGCAAAUUUUAUAUCUGGUAGACUUUACGUGAAAAAGCCUUAAAAAACUGCCGUUGAUUUUUCAAGAGUUUCCCAGUACUUUUUUAAAACAAUUUUUAAGCGUUAAAACUAUGAAGAGUUUCCUCGGAGCAAAUGGGCAGAGUUAAGCAAAACAGUCUCAUCUACGAUGCAGUGGCUCAAAAUCUUGUCUCCUGUUUUAAUUUUUGAACGGAAACCAACCACUUGAUUUCAUUUACUUUCAUCUUUUGAUUCAUCUUUUCAAAUUAUCAUUGGAAAACAUUUGGUUUUAUUUUUAAAUUUUCGAUAUACAAUAUACCGUAUGUAAGUAUGUAUACCUUUUUUCUUCUUUUUCUCUCUCUUAUAAUGAAUGAAAAUAUUACUUUUUAAAAAAAAAAAAAUUUAUAUUUUUAAAACGUGGCAAAUAUUUAUAAAACCUUUUUGAAGCGAUGGCAUCAAUAUGCAUCUCAAUGAGCCAUAGUCGUGUUAAAAGAAACUAUAC